rnacentral:RNase_P_RNA from 1 species
GGUAAGAGCCCACCGCACGCGUGGCAACACGGGUGGCACGGCAAGCCCCACCAGGAGCAAUGCCAAAUAGGGGCCCCGCGCGGGCAGGUGCCGCAAGGCAUACCGCCGCAAGGAUGCCUGAACCCAAGGGGCCCGGGUUGGCAGCUAGAGGGCGGUUGGCAACAGCCGCUCAAGAUGAAUGGUCAUCCAGUCGGGGCAACCCGAUGGACAGAAUCCGGCUUACAGGCCAUCCGCGCAU